rnacentral:lncRNA from 1 species
AACUUCACUGCUGCAUUUUUACUACAGGUGGCUUACAAUCUUUUUGGUAAACGCAAGUGCAUAAAUUAAAUUCACAAGAUCCUGAACCAUCACUAUGCCUUGCUUUACAGUCUUGGUUACAUAGUCCUUGUGGUCCACAUGCACCUAAGUAUUCCGUGCAUAUAUAAGUAACUUCCUUCGGAGUAACACAAUUUGUGAGAUAUGGACCUACAUAUUUCAUACAUAAAAAAAGUUAUUUAUUAGUCAAAGUUAUAUAUACCAUUUGAACUUCAGCAUCACUAUAUGUUAAAUCAAACAAUAUAAUUACAAUGGUUGUUAGAAAAACAAGUGAUAAUUACCUGCUACAAGUAGAACCACGAUGACAAACAAAUGAGAAUAGUUUAACGCACGGUUAGCCAUGAGGGAGACAAAAUACAAAAAGAUCUGGUUCUGUAUUUUAUGGUGGGUUGGAAGUGUAAAAGGUUGUCUAUUUAUAAUUCAUGUCCGGAGACAAAACAAAUCCUAAUGUAAUGGUAUAACAAAUCCUAAUCAAUUUAAAAUAAGGAAACAAAUCAAGAAAUAAUAUAUAAAUAGGAAAUAAUUACAGCAAGAUUCUUUGAAAUAUGCUAAAUUAUUAAAAAAUAUUUUACACAUGUUCUAAUACUGAAACCCUAUAAUUUGUUUUUAUCUUGCACUCAAUAUGAUAUAGCUAUUUCUAUUUAUAAGGAAAAAGUGUAUUAAUAAUAUCAAUACAAAGGGUGUCCACUCAAUACAAAAGAAAGAUCAAGUAAAGAUCUUCUUAAAACUUAGUUUAAUACAAAUUUUCAGAUCCAUACACCAAUUUGUAAAAGAUAAAGAAGAUGUUUUGACACAGUAGAACAUAAUGUACGUUACAUACACACUUCCAAUUACAAGACUCGAACGCUCAUUUCUUGGAACCCAAAGAACUUCGUCACCCUUGGUUUGACCUUUCCCAAAACCGCCUCCUAAGAAAACCUUUCUUACGCAAUUCAGCCCCAGCCAAGGUAUCGCUCUUUAUCCCAAGACCUCCAAGUCUUUGUGAAGAGCACCUUACCUAAUGCAGCUAGGAUUUUCCCAAUCCUUGAAUAACAAUGCUUUGAUUUAUUAAUGAGUACUUAAUACUCAGAUAUUACAAUAAAGAUCAAAGCCUAAAACCUAAGCAAGAACUCACAAGACAUCCUAGUCUAAUAUGAAUGUUCAUGCAUGAGGUUUUUGAAAAUAUGCAAUCAUAAAAAAAACUAUCUCUUUUUCUUUUCAAGAAACACAAGAAUGAUGCAAGAAAGCUCUUUAAAGAAUCAUACAAUAUGAAUAUGAAAACUAAAGCAUUAACAUGAUCUAAUCUUUCUCCUAAUUCAACAUGCAAUAUUUUCUCCUAGAUAUAACAGUGAGUAUCUCGAAAAUAUGCAGAGAGAAUGAUGUAAAAAUGUAUGGAUUAUUGUGCCACAUAUGCUGAGAUUUCAGUUUAAAUAGAAAACUGUCAAAAGUCUCAGUUAAUCGAUUAAAUACCCAUUUAAUCGAUUAAUGGGUUGUUUGAAAAUAAUUGUUUUCAACUGUUUUUAGUUUUUCAGUUUUCUCUUGAAACUGCAAUUUUGUGCCCUUCUGUUAUCGAUUAACGGGUUACCUUAAUCGAUUAAACAAUGUAAAAUUAGCUUGUUAAUGCAAAGUAAACUACCUAUAUGAUAUAUGUUAAUGCAAUACAUGAUUUCCAAAAUAUAAUACCUUUAAUGCAAAAAAUCAAUGUAUUCAAAUGCAUGAACCCACUUAUCAUAUAUUUCGAGAAGAUGUCUCAUUUUAGUGGAUUAAUUACUUUAUUAAGUCUUAUGAGACUCACACCUAGGUUUACCUAACCUAGACUCAAUAUCUAUGGCAAGCCACUUAGACUUCUAAAAAGAUAAUAAAGAAUUAUAGCCUAAGUUUAAUAAGCCACCACUUGAGCCAUCGACAUGUUGAUUGUUGAGUCAUCUUCAAGAUUUUGUUAGGUAUCAGUGGCCUAGGAACACGUAGAGGGGGGGGGGUGUUGAAUAGGUGUAGCGGUUAUCAAUCACCGCUUCUUGCACCAAAACCCAAUUUCUGGAAACAACCUAGUUAAUCGAUUAACAUCCAGUCUUAAUCGAUUGACUCGUGCACAAAAUAGAAUGAUCAGAGAGGCAGAUUGCACAGUUAUUUAAAAACAAUUGAACAGAGAUAAUACAAAUAUUUUUAACCAACAAACAAUUAGCAUAUGACAGUAAACAAAUAUCCAAAAUAUUAGUCACAGAUUCAAUUUAUAACAGCAAGAAACUAAAAGAAGAUUCAGAGAGAAAAAGAGUGCACGAGUGGAUUUUUAUCCUGGUUCGUUUGUGGUCCACUGCAAACUACAUCCAGGCCUCCCCUUAUGAUCUAAGGAGAUUUUCUUCUUCACAAUAUUGAUUUAAAGUAUGAAUACACACCAAUUCAAUUACAAGUACAUAUGACGCUUCUUUCUUGAAAUCUAGGACCCCUAAAUCCUUGGUUUGACUCUACCCUUCGCUUGAGAAAACCUUUCUCGUGAAACAACCUUUAGCCAAGAUUCUUGUCCUCAAAUCAAGACCUCCUAGCCUUGGUGAAGAACCUCAAUCUCUGUGGUGAUCUGACACCAAGAGAUUAAUCCAGAAAUACACAAAAAACAGAUUAAACAGUAAGGUAUACUAAACACAAUAAUGCUUGGAAUAUAACAAGAAAAGAUCUAAAGACUAACCCACUCACUAGUCACUCAAGCCAUCAAGAAUCAUGUGAGUUAAUCAAAUAGAAAUCAUGUAAUCUUUCUAUCAAUCUAUAUAAUGCAUGAACAUGUGAGCAAGAUAAGAAUGAGUGUAUGAAAUAUGUAAAAACAAUAUCCAAGAAUUCAUAAACUAAUUCAGCAUAAAAACUCUCUUCCCACACAUGCAACUCUCUUGCAAAAAUAGUAAGCAAAAUGUAAAAUGCUCUCUAAAAUCAGCCCCAUACAAUAGAAUGUAAUGUUAUGGUUCUCUGAAUGUUGCCUCUUAUUUAUAGUAAGUAGUUUAGGCAGUUAGAUUUGUUGCAAAUAGUUAAACGGUUGAAACAGAAAUAAGUUAUAACAAAUAACAGACAUGUUACUCGAUUAAGGCUACCCAUUAAUCAAUUAACCAUGCAACAAAAUGACACAGAAAACAGUUGUAACAGAAAGCACUGAUUGAACAGAAAAGUAGUUAAGUUAAUUGAUUAAGUCACCACAUUAAUCGAUUACCUGACACAUUAAAGUACACAUUUCAAAAGGUAAACUUCUCAUACGUUACGCACAACAUAUAUACAUGUUCUAACAAUUAUAUUAUACCUAAUAUGCACAUAUAACAUGUAUGAUUAAUACAUGAACAUACAAUUAACUAGAUGAUAUGUCUCAUGGAUAUGAUAUGACAAUUAAGAUGGCUUGAGAGACUAGCACCUAGGUUCACCUUACAUAUACCCACUUAUUACGGCACACAUCCUAGACUACUUAGAAUAUUGACUCAAUUUAUGUCCUAGUCUAGAUAUGACCAAAUGAGCACAAGACAUGUUGAUUGUUGAGCCAUCUUCAAGCUUUAAUAGACCAUUGUCUUCAUCAAAAUAUAGGCAAAGAAUUGUUAGUGCUAUCCUUGGCACUUUGCACUUUCAGCUUUAACUAAUUCCUUGUCUUCAUCAAAACAUAGGCAAAUGUUGCUAAUGCAAUCCUUGACACUUUGCACUCUCAGAUUGAAUAAUAUGUGAAAAAUCACCUUGAGACUUUGAUUACCCACCCAAAUAUCAUGCCAAAAAAGAGUUUGAAGACUAUUCUCAAAUUUCUUCCAGACAUUAUUUACAAAUCAACUGCCUCCUUCCCUAUUCGGAGAUCCCAGAUUUCCCAAAUCCUUCCACCAUCUUAAAGCAACAUUUUUGCUAUGUAUAAUGCAGUCAACGCCAUAUUUAGAGUUAAUCACCUUAACCUAGAAAACCUCUUUUAGUUGAAGUCUAUGCCCUCUCCAUUUCCCAAAAGCCUAAUUAAAUCGGAGAAGAUCCAUAAUACCUAGUCCUCCAAGCUCCUUUGUUUGCAGAUAUCAUCCCAAGCCACCUAAGCCACACCUUUACCACCUCUCUUAUUCCCCAAAGAAAUUUUCAUUGCAAGCUAACAAUUUUUGCUAAGACUUUUAUUGCGGCUUUUUAAAGAGAAAUUAUAUAAGUAGGGAUGUGUGAUAACACUGGGUUCAAAAUGAUUAUUCUUCCUCCAAAAGAGAUAUGAUUGCAUUUACAAGAAACAAACCUCUUAGAUACCACCUCGAUCAUGCACUCCCAAGUAUAAAGUCUUCUCGGGUUUGCCCUUACAGAAAUGCCCAAGUAAAGAAAGGGCAUUCCUUCAAACAAUACAAAAAGUUUGUCGCUGCUAGCAUAGUCGACUCCGACAACCUUAUACCAAAUAUAGAGUUUCUAUUUGAAUUAACCUUCAAACAUGAAGCUAACUCAAAACAUCAAAGAACUGUGUUCAUGCACGAAAGGUUUUUAUUUGAAAGUUUGCAAACAAUAAUAGUAUCUUCCUCAAACUGAAGAUCACACACUUUCACACCACAUCUCCUAUUUUGAAUCCCUCAAAGGCACCAAGAGAUCUAGCUUUUCUAACCAACCCAGCAAAUCCUUAUGCUACCACAAGGAAUAGGAAAAGCACCAUAAGAUCCCCUUGUCUAAUACCUCUAGAAAUAUAGAAUUGUGCCGAUGGACUUCCAUUAACCAAAACAAGCAUGAAGGUCGAGGAGAGACAAGCAUUGAUUCAUUUCCUCCAUUGGUUGAUAUCCAAAACCGACUAAGCAUAUAGUCUAGGAAAGUCCAAUCCAUCGAGUAAUAUGCUUUCUCAAAAUCAACUUUGAACAAAACACAACAUUCUCCAUUCUUUUUUCCCGAAUGGAUUACCUCAUUAAUCACCAUAGUUGCAUCCAUAAUAUAUUUAUCCUGAAUAAAGGUCAAUUUAGAAGGAGAAAUUAUUAAACUCAUAACUACUUUGAGUCUACAUGCCAAAAUCUUCGCAAUGAUUUUAUACAAGGAUUCAACCAGAGAGAUCAACCUGCAGUCCUGGGUUUUGUUCAGAUUCUUUGUCUUUGAUAUCAAAGCAAUAAAAGAAGAAUUCAAACAUUUUGGGAGCUUUCCAUUAGCAUGGAAUUCUUGGAUAAAAAGAACAAUGUGCUCUUUAACUACCUCCCAAAAAUCGUAGAAGAAUCUGAAGUUUAAACCAUCUGUUCUAGGAUUCAUAUCUCCUGCACAACUCUAAACCGCCAUUUUAAUCUCCUCCUCGAAAAAAUAGCAUCCUAGGCAUGAAGUUGAUUAUCACUCAGAGUGUGAAACUCAACCCCAUCCAAUUUCGGUUUAACCAUAGGCCCUGCAGAGAACAAAUUUGUAAAGUAAUUUUUUAUCCAAUUCCUCAUAAUUGAGUCCUCCUCAUGCGACAAUAAGUUAUCCUUCAAACUUUUUGUUUUCCACCAGUCAAUCGAUAACUCUUUGUAUAAAGAAAGUUGAUCUGAAUAUAUCAUCGAAGUCUCACUCAAAAUAUCCAGCUCUUGAAUAUCCAUAGACAAUUGGCCUAGUUUUGUAUCCAAACAACCAAAUGUCUCCUUAUUCCACGCUUUAGAAACUAGUGCUUCAAAGCUCUAGUUCUGAAGCCAACAAUUAUUGAACCGAAAAGGAAGUGGUCCCUUCUCCACCUUCCUCUACAUUAAGAAAUAAAAGGGCAUACUGAUCAUUUUUGUGAUUUUACAGAUAAAAUAGUUAUUUCACCCAUUAUGGAUUAUUAUAACUUUUGGGAUUUUAUUGAGUACAAAUAAUGUUUUGUCCAAAAAGAAUAUUUCAGCCAUAUUACCUUUAAUAGUAAAAUAUUUUAAGUUUACCUAUUUGUGAGUAUUAGAAUAAUAUUUAUGCUUUAUAAAAAUAUUAAAAUAUUUUUGUCAUAAAAAGUAUAUUUUUAGAUAUAUCGAAAUGAACUUUAUCCUCAUUCGAAUAUUUAAAUCCUAAUCAAAGUCAUAAAGUGAAUUAAGUAUUUGUAAUUUCAUUUUGAAUACUUUAAAUUUUAAUUUUUUUUUUUAUGUAUUUAAUUAGUGGUGCGUCCUCCUUUUUGGUUAAAUACCAGCUUUCAAUAUCUCCCAAAACAUUAGGAUUUAUUAUUAUGUUUUUUGCAGUUAAAAAAUAAUAAAUACUAUUUAAUACCAAAUUUUGGAAAAUAUGGCCUUGAACAAAACUUAUGAACUCAAGAGUUAAUUACAUAUUAGAUAACGUAAUAACACUUUAUUUGCCAUAUUAAAAUGGUAUCAUCGAAAAUUAUAUGGACUUUAUACACUUAAUUAAUUUAUUUAAUUUCUAAAUCAAAAUAUUUUCUCUAUUUUCGCGUCAGCAAAAUUUUAUCUUGUUUCUACAUAUUCGUAGAUAUAAUAGGAUAUCAAGACAAUGUAAUUCAGAAUGAAAUGAAUUAUAUUAUUCGGGGUAUGUUAGAUUAUUUCGUGUUAAUGCAAUCCCUCAACUUAUAAAAAAUGAACUAAUUUAUUCAUGAUAUAUGAAUGUUUCUCACAGUAAUCAUCACUCUAACAUAUAUAACUUGUGAUAUGUGUGCUUGUAAGGAUAUAGUUGAGCAUCACAGUGGUAAACCAUAUUCUUGGUAUAUAUAAUAGAUAAUUUGAAAGUAAUGGUGCAUAAAAAUUAUAAGGAGAUUGUAUAUUACGCACAAUCAAUCAAAUAAUUGAUAUUAUUAAGAAUACUAUAAUUAUAAUAGAGGUUUGUUGCUUUUUAAAUUGUUACUACAAUAGUAUUAGAUAUAUUUGAUUGGUUGUGAUAAAUAUUUCUGGUAAUAAAGCUUAGAGCAUGUUUCUAAUUUGUAAUCAUUAAAGAAAAUUAAACUAAUAAUAAUAUAUGAAAAUGAACAAUGUAUUUGAUUGUGAAAUAUAAAAUUUGGAAUAUUGAAAUAACAUAAAAUUAAUAUUAGAACUACAAUUUUAAAAACCCAUAAGAAAUAUAACCUAUAUACCAAAUGUGAUCAUCCAAUUUUGUCUCACACAUUUUGGCAAAAUCUUUUUAAAUAUAAAAUACAAAAUUUAAUAAUAAAAUUAAAAAAGGUAUAUUAAUAAUUUUGGUGACUUUAUAGAUCAAAUAAUUAUUUCACUCCUUUAUGAUAUUACAUUAAUUAUUUUUGUAGUGCUAUAGCCAUCAACUUCACUGCUGCAUUUUUACUACUGGUGGCUUACAACCUAUUUGAUAAACGCAAGUGCAUAAAUUAAAUUCACAAGAUCCUGAACCAUCACUAUGCCUUGCUUUACAGUCUUGGUUACAUAGUCCUUGUGGUCCACAUGCACCUAAGUAUUCCGUGCAUACAUAAGUAACUCCCAUCGGAGUGACACAAUUUGUGAGAUAUGGAC